rnacentral:rRNA from 1 species
UACGAAGGGGGCUAGCGUUGCUCGGAAUCACUGGGCGUAAAGGGUGCGUAGGCGGGUCUUUAAGUCAGGGGUGAGAUCCUGGAGCUCAACCCCAGAACUGCCUUUGAUACUGAGGAUCUUGAGUUCGGGAGAGGUGAGUGGAACUGCGAGUGUAGAGGUGAAAUUCGUAGAUAUUCGCAAGAACACCAGUGGCGAAGGCGGCUCACUGGCCCGAUACUGACGCUGAGGCACGAAAGCGUGGGGAGCAAACAGG